rnacentral:snoRNA from 1 species
CCAACAUGGAUACCCUGGGAGGUCACUCUCCCUGGGCUCUGUCCUAGUGUCAGAGGGGAGCAUAGGGCUCUGGCCCAUGAUAUACAGGCCCUUUCCACAACAUUGGAAAUGAAACUGGACUCUCAGUCUGUGCCUGCAUAUUCCUACGGUUUUCCAGAGUCUUGUGAGCAAUAACUAAGGAGACACAGCAUGCAGGAAGAAGUC